CCAAUUCCACCACCACCUACAGCAAAAAAGAAAGUUUAGUAAUCAAGCUCUCUCCUUCAACAAUGGCCGCCUCAACCAUGGCCCUCUCAUCCCCAUCUUUCGCUGGCAAGGCAGUGAAGCUCUCUCCAUUGACCCCGAGCUCGGCGUUGGUCGUGUCAGUAUGAGGAAAACUGCCACCAAGACCGUUUCCGGUAGCCCAUGGUAUGGUCCAGACCGUGUUAAGUACUUGGGCCCAUUCUCUGGAGAGCCUCCAUCCUACCUUACUGGGGAAUUCCCCGGUGAUUAUGGCUGGGACACCGCUGGACUUUCAGCUGAUCCAGAAACCUUUGCCAAGAACCGUGAGCUCGAGGUCAUCCACUCUAGGUGGGCCAUGCUCGGAGCCCUUGGGUGCGUCUUCCCGGAACUCUUGGCUCGCAACGGAGUCAAAUUCGGCGAGGCUGUUUGGUUCAAGGCUGGAGCACAAAUCUUCAGCGAGGGCGGGCUCGACUACUUGGGCAACCCAAGCUUGGUCCAUGCACAAAGCAUUUUGGCAAUCUGGGCCACACAGGUUAUCUUGAUGGGUGCUGUUGAGGGUUACCGUAUUGCAGGUGGGCCAUUGGGUGAGGUGACUGACCCAAUCUACCCAGGUGGAAGCUUUGACCCCUUGGGUCUUGCUGAUGACCCAGAAGCAUUUGCUGAGCUUAAGGUGAAGGAGCUCAAGAACGGGAGAUUGGCUAUGUUCUCUAUGUUUGGAUUCUUUGUUCAAGCCAUUGUGACAGGAAAGGGACCCUUGGAGAACCUGGCCGACCACCUUGCAGACCCUGUGAACAACAAUGCUUGGGCUUAUGCCACUAACUUUGUCCCCGGAAAGUGAAACAAUGUGAAUUUUCCCUUUUCGGACUGAUUUGGGAUGUAAAUUAUUGUUUGUUUGAAAAUGUAAUGAAGAGCUUAAUGUGAA